rnacentral:rRNA from 1 species
UACAGGGGGGGCAAGCGUUGUUCGGAAUUACUGGGCGUAAAGGGUUCGUAGGUGGCUUGCUUAGUCAGACGUGAAAUCCCUCAGCUCAACUGGGGAACUGCGUCUGAUACUGGCGAGCUUGAGUGCAGGAGAGGAAUGCGGAAUUCCAGGUGUAGCGGUGAAAUGCGUAGAUAUCUGGAGGAACACCGGUGGCGAAGGCGGCGUUCUGG